rnacentral:rRNA from 1 species
UACGUAGGGUGCGAGCGUUGUCCGGAAUUAUUGGGCGUAAAGAGCGUGUAGGCGGCCAGAUAAGUCCGUUGUGAAAACUCGAGGCUCAACCUCGAGACGUCGGCGGAAACCCUCUGGCUAGAGUCCGGAAGAGGAGAGUGGAAUUCCUGGUGUAGCGGUGAAAUGCGCAGAUAUCAGGAAGAACACCCGUGGCGAAGGCGGCUCUCUGGGACGGUACUGACGCUGAGACGCGAAAGCGUGGGGAGCAAACAGG